GAAACGCAUAGAGGGCGU
rnacentral:snRNA from 1 species